rnacentral:lncRNA from 1 species
GGGGGGUUCCCCCCUUCUGAUCUUUUUUGGGGAGGCACUUUGGGGUACCGACUGUUCCCCACCAUGGCUGGGGGGGGCCCUGAGCCCCAGAAUGAUCCCCUGGGAGGGGGGUUGGAGGAGGUGUCCCCGUGGGCUCUCUGUGCAGGUGUCCCAGUGUCCCCAUAGUCUCCAUGACCAGGUGUCCCCACAUCCCUAUGUCCAGAUGUCCAUGUGUCCCCAUGUCCAGAUAUCCCCAUGUUCCCAUGCCCAGGUGUCCCAGUGUCCCCAUGUCCCUGUGUUCAUGUGUCCCCAUGUCCAGAUAUCCCCGUGUCCAUGUGUCCCCAUGUCCAGAUAUCCCCAUGUCCCUGUGCCCAAGUGUCCCUGUGUCUCUGUGUCCCUGUGUCCCCAUGUCCCCAUGUCCCGUGUCCGUGUGUCCCCCUGCCCAGGAGCCCCCCUGCUGCCAGCUCAGGCAUGGAUUCCCAGCCCAUGUCCAUGGAUUUCCUCUCCCACUCCCCGUGUCCCACCCCGUGGGACAGAGCCCUGUGUGUGUCCCCCCCUCUUCCCAAUUCCUUCCCAAACCUGAGACCACGGCCCAGAGAUUUGGGGUUUUUUUUUUUCCCCAUUUUCCUGCUUUUAGUCAAGGCCUGGCACCUUCCAGGCAGCUGAGGGACACGGGACACUUCCCAAAUCUCAGGGGAGCCAGAGUUCCAUGAUUUUUGCUGUUGGUUUUUUGGGGUUCUGCCUUUCCCCAAAGGGUGGCUGCUCCCUUUGGAUCCUGGUUUUCCCCUCCUGGAGGGUUGGCUGGGAUGGGUUUUCCCUGGUUUGGAUCCUGGUUUUCCCCUCUGGGAGGGUUGGCUGGGGUGGGAUUUCCCUGGUUUUCCUGGUUUUCCCCCCCUGGAGGGUUGGCUGGGAUGGAUUUUCCUGGUUUGGAUCCUGGUUUUCCCCUCCUGGAGGGUUGGCUGGGAUGGAUUUUCCUGGUUUGGAUCCUGGUUUUCCCCUCCUGGAGGGUUGGCUGGGAUGGAUUUUCCUGGUUUUCCCCUCCCAGAGGGUUGGCUGGGGUGGAUUUUCCUGGUUUUCCCCUCCUGGAGGGUUGGCUGGGGUGGAUUUUCCUGGUGUUCCCCCCCCCCGGAGGGUUGGCUGGGGUGGGAUUUCCCUGGUUUUCCUGGUUUUCCCCUCCUGGAGGGUGGCUGGGGUGGAUUUCCCUGGUUAACCAGUGGCAGAGGGGACUUUCCCCCGUGUGACACUGUCCCUGUGUGACACUGUCCCCUGCCCUGGGUGUGCAAACACAGCCCUGACCCCCGGGCUGGUGGUUUGGGAUCGUUGCACUCGGGGACUGGCCGGGGCUCAGGAUCCAGGGAUGCAACUCCAGGCAAUUCCAGGCCUUUUCCUGCUCUCCCAGGGCUGGAACGGGGCCUUCUGCAGCAGGGUUGGUUCAGGAGG